rnacentral:rRNA from 1 species
ACAUGCAAGUCGAACGAAGUAGCAAUACUUAGUGGCAGACGGGUGAGUAACAUGUGGGUAUCUACCCUUUGGCCUGGAACAACACGGGGAAACCUGUGCUAAUACCGGAUAAGCCCUUACGGGGAAAGUUUUAAUGCCAAAAGAUGAGCCCGCACUUGAUUAGCUAGUUGGUAAGGUAAAAGCUUACCAAGGCGACAAUCAAUAGCUGAUUUGAGAGAACGACCAGCCACACUGGAACUGAGAUACGGCCCAGACUCC